UCUAAUUCUGUAUUCCAAAGAAAGCAAGGAAAGGAGAAGGGAAAUAGAGGCCCUUACCUGGCGAGGAAGAGGGCAACGUUCCUUAGGAGCGAAAGAGAGACCAGCAGAAGGCAAUCCAGGUUCUUGCACGAACAGCAUCUGUGGACAUUCAACCUUGGACAAUUUUGUGGCUGACCACAACCAUGCAAAAUGAGGACAGAGAGAUGUACAAAAUACAUGAAAAAGUAUGCAAGGCACACGAGGAUCGCUUCUGCAAAUCCUUAGCCAAGGCUCUCCAUGAUGUUGAGCUGCCAAAGACGAUUGGGCUUUACGUACCAUUGGGAUACUGUAAAAAAGAAUUAUUGAACAACG